GGCCCGCACAAGCGGUGGAGCAUGUGGUUUAAUUCGAUGAUACGCGAGGAACCUUACCAGGGCUUAAAUGUAAGUUGCAUAGAUCAGAGAUGGUCUUUUCUUCGGACUACUUACAAGGUGCUGCAUGGUUGUCGUCAGCUCGUGCCGUGAGGUGUCAGGUUAAGUCCUAUAACGAGCGCAACCCCCUGUCGUUAGUUGCCAGCAAGUUAAGUUGGGCACUCUAGCGAGACUGCCAGUGCAAACUGUGAGGAAGGUGGGAUGACGUCAAAUCAUCACGGGCCCUUACGUCUGGGCUACACACGUGCUACAAUGGCCGGUACAGAGAGCAGCCACUACGCGAGUAGGAGCGAAUCUAUAAAACCGGUCUCAGUUCGGA
rnacentral:rRNA from 1 species